UAUCAAACCAGUCUCACAAAGGCAGAGUAUUACAAUGGCAGAAUGUGACAUGAGUUUAGAGAUUUUGAGGCAAUGCUUAUCUGCAAAUAUCAAUGUUAAAUUUCAGUAGUAGGUCUGGUUUCAACAGAGAUGCUGUUUGCAACCUGAGCAGCAUCCCUGACAAUGACUUUUAUUAAUGAGUUUGGUGCUUCUUUUAUGUAAUGCAAACAACAUUUUUGUUGCAUGAACUGGUUUACACUCUAUAAAGAUUGUCAGAUGAGUACAAAUUAAAAUAUUGAAUCACAUCCUGAAAUUCUCAAAAGAAAAAUAAAACGGUGAUUUUAAUAGAGAAAAUAAUUUAUGCAUUCUCACUGUUUUGUAUUUUUUGUUAUUGUAUGUACAUAUUAAUGAUAUGUGUGUUCACAUGUGCAUGUAUUUGUGUGUGUGUGUUUGUGUUUGUGUUUUGUGUGUGUGUGUGUGUGUGUGUGUGUGUGUUGUGCAUAUAAGCAUGCAUACAUGAGUGCAGGGCAGAAUGUUCACACGUUCAUGUAGAGGUCAGAAGACAGCUUUUAGGAGUAAAUUAUAACCUUCCACUGUGGUUCUAAGGUUAGAAAUGUUUUUAUAACGUUUAAACAACAUGUACUUAUAACCAUUGAGCCGAUUGUCUAUCAAGCAUCAUAACAGUUUUCAUUAUUAUUUUUAAAAAAUUAACAUUUUAAAUAUGUAAUUGCAUCAUUUCUCAGAGUUUCUUUACUUCUUUCAGCACUUCCCAUAAAGCCUGUUACUCACAUUGAAAUUCAUGUCCUCUUUUUCUUUAGUUGUUGUUACAAAUAAACUAUAUGCGUUCCUACUUAAAUAUAAUUUGCUCACUUUUUAUUUAUUUACUGGUAUGUAUAUAAUCUUAAGGUUGACUGCUUUGUACUGGAUAUUACAGCCUUGAUUUUUCCAUAAUUUGUAUUUAUGUACACACACACAGACACACACACACGUAGUGUUCUCAAACUUGACCUAUAUGCUUGCACAUAUUUAAAUGAUAGAGAUACACUAAAAUAUUAAAUUGCUCAGCUAUUGAGACAGUUGUAGUUUUACAAAGAUACUAUGAUUCAUUCCCUGUAAAAUUAAGCCGAGAAAAAUAUUCACAAGGUUGUAUUGAACAGUAUUAUUCAGUGUUGUUAGAAAUAGUAAGUAAAAAUGGCCUUAGUAUUUGAAAAGGUAAACAAAAUAUUACAUCUGAGAAGUAAUGAGCAAUUAUGAAAGAAAAUCAAAUUUGUAUGCCUAACAUAAAAAUGUCAGUAUGAAAAAGUCAGCAAUUGGAUAUUUCUAACUUAAUGAAAGAGCUACAAUUAUAGGCAACCACAUAUCAUUGGUUGCCAAAAUCUGAAAGAAAGUAGAAAAGCACUAAUAGGUGAAGAACAGGUCAAUUUUGCAGCUGUGAAAUUAUUUUGUGUGUCAUUUUAAUGGAGGACAUAUGACAUUUUCAAGUUGGAAAAACUCAUUAAUUUUUAUGAAGAGUGGACCUUAAUGUAUUCAAAUAAAAUCAGCUAGGCAAUUGAAAGCCCCAUAAAAGUAGAGAUUAUGACAAAGUUAUCUGAUGACAUUAUAGGAGUAGGAAACCAUGUCACUGUAAGGAUGGAAGAAAACAUGUGGACCAAUGGAACUUCAGAAUAAAUGAUGACUAUAAACUAAGUCAAGAGCAAAUGUGUUUCAUUCUUGUUAGUGGAACUUCCCCCACAUGAGCAGUACAUCAAAAUUUUGCUAGGGCUAUCAGUUUAUAUUGAAAUAAUCACUUGAGUAUGCAUAUGACACAGAGUCAGCAUCUAAUUUUCUGGUUAUUGCAGAAAUGUAAAUAUCAGGAUCAAAUUCAAGCCAGGUAUCCUACAGCAUCCUUGCAGUGUUCAGUUAGAAGGUACAUUUACUUAUGUAACUCCAUUGUGUAAAUGUACCACAUUUUUUGUAUCCAUUCUUCUGUUGAGGGACAUCUGGGUUCUUUCCAGAUGACACCAUUGCAUACACUAGCAAGCCUUUGUUGCAAGGACUGUGAUAUAGCUGUCCCUUGUGAGACUAGGCCGGGCCUAGCAAACACAGAAGUGGAUGCUCACAGUCAACUAUUGGAUGGAUCACAGGGCCCCCAAUGGAGGAGCUAGAGAAAGUAUCCAAGGAGCUAAAGAGAUCUGCAACCCUAUCGGAGGAACAACAUUAUGAACUAACCAGUACCCCAGAGCUCUUGACUCUAGCUGCAUAUGUAUCAAAAGAUGACCUAGUUGGCCAUCACUGGAAAGAGAGGCCCAUUGGUCAGGCAAACGUUAUAUGCCCCAGUACAGGGGAAUGCCAGGGCCAAAAAAUGGGAAUGGGUGGGUAGGGGAGUGGGGGGGGGGGCUUUUGGUUAGCAUUGGAAAUGUAAUUAAAGAAAAUACAUAAUAAUAAAAAAAAAGGCAUGCACCAAAAAAAAAAAAAAAAGAUUAAUGGAUUAGCAGGGCAGUGGUGGCACAUGCCUUUAAUCCCAGCACUUGGGAGACAGAGGCAGGCAGAUUUCUGAGUUCGAGGCCAGCCAGGUCUACAAAGUGAGUUCCAUGACAGCCAGGGCUAUACAGAGAAACCCUGUCUCGAAACAAAAACAAAAAAUAAAAACAAAAACAGAAAAAAAAACAAAAAACAAAACAAAAAAAAACCCCAAACCAAAAAGCACAACAACAACAACAACAAAACAAAGAUUAAUCAAUUAAUAGGCAAUUAUGUCUCAAAUUAUUUCAGACAUAAAAUAAAGUAAUAGUAAGAUAAAAUAAUGUUCCCCUACAACUCAACAUAUAAAAUAUGUAUCCAUAUGUCCAUAUCAUAUACAAAUUAUAUGUCCAUAUCAUAUACAAAUUAUUGGUAAAAUUAUCAAAUCAAAAAGGCAAAGCUAUAUUAUGUAAGAAGUUUGAAUUGAAUUUUAUGGAUCUUUCUCCAAUAAAGACAUACAUUAGCAUAAACCUCAUGCAAAUGUGGUCAAUGCAUUGACUUUCUUAGUAAUGCGUAGCAAAACAUAGGAGCAAAGACUGCAACUUUAUGAUAAGACAUUCCAAAAAUGUGCUGAGUGAUAAUUGCAGAAAAUUGGUGUAAUGGCUUUACCUCUAUGGUCUUCCCUCUAAAUUGUAUGACCAGUGCUUGUUGAGAAGGCUCAACAGAUAAAGGCUUACAACUGGAUGGCAAUAUGUACUGAAUCCCAUAGAUCUCCAUGGUAGAAGAAGAGAACUGAUUUCAACUAGAGCUGAACUACAAAGCCUAUUCACCCAAUUACUACAGCCUGCAAGAGGCUGGGCCCUAGCUCUCACAUCCUUAGGGCUGGUUCAACUGUAACUUUGCCAUCAGUUUCAGCUCCACUGUGUUUCCCAGGCAGGCACAUGGCCACCUCUCUUGAGUACUACAGUCAUUAAUGGCAUGGGCAGGACAGAUCUCCCAAAUCUGGGGACCAGCUGUCUAGACCUCAGUUGGCAUUUGGUAAGAGUGGAGAGAGUAUUACUCAUUUGCACACUCCUCUUCAAAUUUCUUCUGCAUUCAGUCCCAGGUGUUGUACUGCUCACGUGAGGUGCAGAGCCUGCUCUCCCACUCACAUAACCCUGGGAUCAGGUCUCCCAACUGCCAAGGUGAUGACGGAGAAGGAGAGACAUUAUGAUACUGUUAAACAACUUCCACACUACUAGUUUUGAACUAUGAACAAAACUGUUCUAAUAUACAUACAUACAUACAUACAUACAUACAUACAUAUAUAAUUACAGUAUUUUUCAGUAAUAUUCAGUGUUUCUCUAGUUAUAAACAGAAAUAUCUACUCCCUACUACAUAUGAUGGCCAUUCAUUCUGCUUCCCCUUUUUAUUUAUGUGUGUAAACAAACACACAGCAUGCAUAUGAAUGGCAGAAAACAACUUUUAGGAAUUGGUUUUUGCUUUCUUUCAUAUUGUACUGGAUAUUAAAGUCAAGUUUUGAAGCUUGGCUGCAAAUAUUUUUACUCCCUUUUCCUCCUGAGCCAUUAUGUCAGCUUCCAUUCUGCAUUUAAGUCUAAUUUUAUAUACAACUUGCAGAGCAUAGUUCAAUUUCUAGUACCACUGUCUCAGAUGCGUGUUACCUACACCACAAAUUUGCCUCUAUACUGAUUUGUCUAACCUCCUUCAGAUACUUAGUGUACUCUUCUGUUAUGUAGGCAAUUUACAAAUAUACUCAGCAUAUUCAUGUGUGUCCAAAUGCUUUGACUGGUGUGCUUUACAUGGGCAAUCCUACGCACAUUAAUUUUUUUCCUCAGCCACAUUCUCUGUGUGUUUACUGAAUUAAUAGGAAUCCCCAUAUGUGGAUAAAUUUAUAAAUUAGAGAGGAAGUUUUCAUUUAUGAAUACAUAAGGAAAGUGUAUUAGGGCUAGUUAAACAAUAACUCACAUAAGACAUAGACAUUUGCCCCACAUCUUGAAAAUCUACCAUAUAAUGAAUAGUUGACUGACAUUGUUUUUUCUGGGAUGGUGGGUUUUCCCAGACAUUCAUUCCCAUUAAUGCUUAUCUCACACUACCUCUGUGGGUUUCUGGAGCUCACAGCUC
rnacentral:lncRNA from 1 species